rfam:Gossypium arboreum cultivar AKA8401 contig_103450_1, whole genome shotgun sequence.
AUUCCGUGAUGAGGGCACUUUCGUAAUAAAUUUUUCUACCUUUCCUAUGCUUCAUACAAGGACUCAUCAUCCAUUUUUUGGAAGGCAUUGAUCUCGUUCCUCAACUU